rnacentral:rRNA from 1 species
UACGAAGGGGGCUAGCGUUGCUCGGAAUCACUGGGCGUAAAGCGCACGUAGGCGGCUUUUUAAGUCAGGGGUGAAAUCCUGGAGCUCAACUCCAGAACUGCCUUUGAUACUGGGAAGCUUGAGUCCGGGAGAGGUGAGUGGAACUCCGAGUGUAGAGGUGAAAUUCGUAGAUAUUCGGAAGAACACCAGUGGCGAAGGCGGCUCACUGGCCCGGUACUGACGCUCAUGCACGAAAGCGUGGGGGAGCAAACAGG